AGUCACACCUACACACUCUCUGCCUGUAACCCUUCCAAUUUCCCAAUCCCUUUCCCUUCUCGAUCCUGGCAUAUAUGAAUUCCCACCGUUCCAAUUACUAGCAGUCCACAACGUUUGCUGCUCGCAUGCCCACUUCACUUUAAAUCUCAAUCCUCACUGCAAUUUUUCACCUUAGUUUCCAGUAAUCAGUGACAACAAGUGUAAAUUUACCUGUUCAAAAUUGUGGGUUUUCCUUCUUUUAUCGGAAAAUGGCGAUUUCGAUGCUCUACGGACCUCAGAAUCUCAAGCUUGUCAAUGGAAUAGUAGCAGUAGCACCAAACGGCUUAGGGUCUGGUGGGAAAAAUUACCCUUAUGGGGGUUUUUCGCACAAGGGUUUAGUGAGCUAUGGCUGCAGAAGUCAAAAGACCAGAACUUUGGUGGGACCCAUAUGCAGUGUGUCAUCGUCGAGGCCUGCUUCCCAGCCUAGGUUCAUCCAGCACAAGCAGGAGGCUUUCUGGUUCUAUAGGUUUUUGUCUAUAGUGUAUGAUCAUGUUAUAAACCCGGGGCAUUGGACUGAGGAUAUGCGGAAUGAUGCGCUCGAGCCCGCGGAUCUUUACGAUAGGAAUAUGGUGGUGGUGGAUGUUGGAGGUGGAACUGGGUUUACGACUCUUGGCAUUGUUAAGCAUGUGGAUGCCAAGAAUGUGACCAUUCUCGACCAAUCGCCGCACCAGCUUGCCAAGGCUAAGGAGAAGGAGCCCUUGAAAGAAUGUAAGAUCAUUGAAGGGGAUGCGGAGGAUCUGCCGUUCCCAACCGAUUAUGCAGAUCGAUAUGUCUCUGCUGGAAGUAUUGAGUACUGGCCCGACCCACAGCGUGGAAUCAAGGAAGCAUACAGGGUACUAAAAAUAGGAGGAAAGGCUUGCCUCAUAGGCCCCGUGUACCCAACCUUUUGGCUGUCUCGUUUCUUUGCAGAUGUGUGGAUGCUCUUCCCAAAGGAGGAGGAGUACAUUGAGUGGUUCAAAAAUGCUGGUUUCAAAGAUGUUCAACUGAAAAGGAUUGGUCCAAAAUGGUACCGUGGUGUCCGCCGCCAUGGCUUGAUUAUGGGUUGCUCUGUGACAGGAGUGAAGCCCUUAAGUGGGAACUCCCCUCUUCAGCUUGGUACAAAGGUGGAGGACGUAAGGAAGCCUGUGAAUCCCUUGGUGUUUCUUUUUCGGCUCAUUCUCGGUGCAACUGCGGGAGCUUACUAUGUGCUGGUUCCAAUUUACAUGUGGAUUAAAGAUCAAGUCGUUCCACAAGGCCAACCUAUCUGAAAAGGGAGUUACAAAAUGUGAAGGGAUUGUCAGCAAUUCCUACAGUUUGCAUCCAUUUUUCCCCCGUUUGCUGUGAAGCUAGCCAUGGAUGCCAUUGAACAGAUUCUGUGGGAUGGUGGAGUCCUGGUAAGUCUUGAGGAGUCGGUUAUGGUUCGAAGACUUGGACCUUGUCGAAUCGGGUGACUUGACUGUGGUAGUCUUUGGCAAAGUUGGAAUGUGUCAAUGCUUUUUAGCCGGAAGAUGAUGAACAAAAUUGAAGUGUUCGUGGGUUUCAAGCACUAGAAGAGUCAAUGGAAGUUGGUUUUACAGGUAAUCAAAAUUUGAGUUCUCUAAUAACACGAUAAAAAAACUAACAAAGAAACAUUCAACCCCAAAUUUUAAGUUCUACGUAAAUGUAGGCCUUAUGUGAUGGUAAAUAAGUGCAUCUAGUCGAUAUGAAAAUUUUCAAGGUGUUUUAGCUCAAGCAGAUAAAAGCAUUCACCACUGCA